rnacentral:lncRNA from 1 species
AAAAAAGCCACCUCAGCCUCUCUCUGUGUCUCAGCUCACAGGGCUUCCAGGAUCAUGGCCUAUAAAACGCUUCAAGUAGUCCUGUGUUCAACAUUGCUUAUCGGAGCAUUGGGAGCGCCAUUUUUGUUGGAGGACCCUGCAAACCAGUUCCUACGUCUCAAAAGACAUGUAAAUUUGCAGGAUUACUGGGACCCAGAUCACAGUUCAGAUGUGUGGGGAAACACACUGGCUAAGCAGGCUCGUGAAACAUGGAUUGCUUUGAAAACAACAGCACAGUAUUAUUUGGAUAUGAAUACCUUCACCUUUGACAUGUCUACUGCCCAGUAAAUAUGUUUUCCUGGUUAAAGCAGGAGGAUGAAGAUGGCGGAGGUUGGAAUGGCAUUGUGCCAAAACCAUGGGUUUUAGAGAUCUGAGGGUAUAUCCAUGCUGUUUACUACAUUAUUUAUUAUGCCUGUCUCAAAGUUGUUGAAAACAGUAGUUAUGAAAACCCAUGUAGAAACCUGGAAUAAGACAUUCUCAAUAAAUGGUAGUUCUCAAAAAAAGAACUAAAAAAAAAAAAGGCUGUAGUAAUAACAUUUACCAAAAUGAUGGCAUUUAUGGGAAAAGGAAAGCAAAAACAAAAACAAAAAAAAAGUAGUUUCAUUAAACCACUCUGUUCAUAGCUUUUACUCUCUAUUGCCUCUUCUUUGAGAGAGUUUUUUAAUUCAAAGAAGGACAGGGAGCUCUCAAAUAGAGCUGAUCCUCUUCUCUCUUCUUCAGUGCUUGUCGCAUUCUUAAGUCAGUCGAUUUUAAAACCAUGAUUUUGAAACGUUUUUCAUCAAAGGUGUACUGCUGAGUGGAGAAUACAGCCUUACCUUAAUAUAACAAGUAGAUAGUGGCUAGGAACUCAAUGGAAGUCAUUCACUUGUAAGUGCAAAUUUCUUCUAAGUUUUGUAAAAUUUUUGUAAGCUUUGCAUUCUGUUCCACAAUUUAUUGAUGUUUGUUUUAAUGUGAAAUAACAGUUUUGACUCACUGGCCAGGCACAUUUUAUAAUUUUUUCAAUUAAAACUGAAAAAUUGGCCAUAGGGAAAAGUGGACUGCAUUUAUCCUAUAACUUUCCUAAUAUUCAUGGAUUACCACCUCAGUUUGAGAAGCAUUGAGAUGAUACAACUAAUUGCCAAGAUUGCCCCCCAAAAUCACAGGUAAAUGGAAUUUUUGUCCUCAGAAGUCUAUUUAUCUCCAUUCUCUAUUCUCUAUUUUAGUUGUUCUCUCGAACAAUUUAUUUUUACCUUUUAAGGUAAAUGGAAACAUUUCCCUAAGACCUUAGUUGAUCUUAUGUGGUCUUAAAACAAUCUUAAGCACUUUUUGAGUGGCAAGUAAAUCAGAAAAACCAAAUGCCAAGAAGUUGACUGGAAGGACUUGGGUCUCAGCAAUUUCUUCUCCAAAAGGACACUGACAGCUGCUCAGUAUUCCACAUUUCCCAUCCUAUGGCCUAGAGGUGUUUUCAGUGAGAAAUUUAAGGCUAAUUUAUAACUUAUUAAGUUAACUGCUAUCCAUUUCCAAUAAAUAUGAACAUAGAUUUUUAAAUUACAUCUGAACAAACAAAACAAAGAUGAUGAAUCAUUUAGUUUUGCAGUGGGAAAUAAGUUUGAGAGUGUACAUAAAUAUAUCUUCAGUGUUUUAACAAUAAUAUACGUUUUACUAACACAAAGUUUCAUUCUUUAAUUAUUUAAUAAAAAAUUGAGAAUGUCUCUGUAUUAGGGUUCUCCAGAGAAACAGAACCAAUAAGAUAUGUAUAUAUAGAGAUGCUCCUCAACUUACGAUGGCGUUACAUCCCAAUAAACCCGUCACACGCUGAAAAUAUCAUAAGUCAAAAGUGCAUUUAAUACACCUGACCUACCCAACCUCAUAGCUUUGCCUAGCCCACUGAUGUGGUUUGGCUCUGUGUUCCCACCCAAAUCUCAUGUUAAAUUGUAAUUCCCAUGGCCGGGCAUGGUGGCUCACACCUGUAAUCCCAGCACUUUGAGAGGCUGAGGCAGGCAGAUCACCUGAGGUCGGGAGUUCGAGACCAGCCUGACCAACAUGGAGAAACCCUGUCUCUACUAAAAAUACAAAAUUAGCCGGGCGUAGUGGCACAUGCCUGUAAUCCCAGCUACUUGGGAGGCUGAGGCAGAAGAAUUACUUGAACCCGGAAGGCAGAGGUUGUGGUGAGCCAAGAUUGUGCCAUUGCACUCCAGCCUGGGCAACAAGAGCGAAACUCCGUCACAAAAAUAAAAAAUAAAAAAAAUUGUAAUUCCCAGUGUUGGUGGCAGGGCCUGGUGGGAGGUGUGGUGAUCAUGGGGGUGGUUUCUAAUGGUUUAGCGCUAUUUCCCUAGUGCUGUCUUGUGACAGAGUUCUCACAAGAUCUGGUUAUUUAAAAGUAUGUAGCAUCUCCCCUUACCUCGCUCUCUCCUGCCACCGUGUGAAGAUUUGCCUGCUUCCUCUUCACCCUUCCGCCAUGAUUGUAAGUUUCCUGGGAACUUCCCAGCUGUGCUUUCUGUACAACCUGUGGAAGCCAGUCAAUUAAACCUCUUUUCUUU